UACGGAGGGUGCAAGCGUUAUUCGGAUUUACUGGGUUUAAAGGGUGCGUAGGUGGGUUGGGAAGUCAGUGGUGAAAUACUUUCGCUUAACGAAGGAACUGCCAUUGAUACUAUCAAUCUUGAAUGUAGUGGAGGUAGGCGGAAUGCGUCAUGUAGCGGUGAAAUGCUUAGAUAUGACGCAGAACACCAAUUGCGAAGGCAGCUUGCUACACUACUAUUGACACUGAGGCACGAAAGCGUGGGGAUCAAACGGG
rnacentral:rRNA from 1 species